rnacentral:rRNA from 1 species
GACGAACGCUGGCGGCGUGCUUAACACAUGCAAGUCGAACGGAAAGGCCUGCUUUCCCUUGUGGAUUGCGGGUACUCGAGUGGCGAACGGGUGAGUAACACGUGAGUGAUCUGCCCCCAACUUGGGUAUAAGCCUGGGAAACUGGGUCUAAUUCCCGAUAGGACUGCAGGGUGGUGCCUGUGGUGGAAAACGAUUUUCUAGUGGUUGGGGAUGAGCUCGCGGCCUAUCAGCUUGUUGGUGGGGUAAUGGCCUACCAAGGCGGCGACGGGUAGCCGGCCUGGGAGGGUGGACGGCCACAUUGGGACUGAGAUACGGCCCAGACUCCUACGGGAGGAAGCAGUGGGGAAUAUUGCACAAUGGGCGGAAGCCUGAUGCAGCGACGCCGCGUGGGGGAUGACGACCUUCGGGUUGUAAACUCCUUUCGACCGCGAGGAAGCCACCUGGUUGGAAGGGUGGUGACGGUAGUGGUAGAAGAAGCACCGGCUAACUACGUG